GUAGUACUCCCUCCGUCCGAAAAUACUUGUCAUCAAAAUGGACAAAAAGGGAUGUAUCUAGAACUAAAAUAUGUCUAGAUACAUCUCCUUUUAUUCAUUUCGAUGACAAGUAUUUCCGGACGGAGGGAGUAUAUG
rfam:Triticum urartu cultivar G1812 contig898290, whole genome shotgun sequence.